rnacentral:rRNA from 1 species
CGGGUAGCGGAACACGUACACAACCUUCCUUUAAGCGGGGGAUAGCCCAGAGAAAUUUGGAUUAAUACCCCAUAGUAUAAUAUUGAGGCAUCUUAAUGUUAUUAAAGAUUUAUCACUUGAAGAUGGGUGUGCGUCUGAUUAGGUAGUUGGUGAGGGUAACGGCCCACCAAGCCAGCGAUCAGUAACUGGUGUGAGAGCACGACCAGUCACACGGGCACUGAGACACGGGCCCG